rnacentral:rRNA from 1 species
CUGCUGCCUUCCGUAGGAGUUUGGACCGUGUCUCAGUUCCAAUGUGGGGGACCUUCCUCUCAGAACCCCUACGCAUCGUCGGCUUGGUGGGCCGUUGCCCCACCAACUACCUAAUGCGCCGCAUGCCCAUCCGUGACCGGAGUCGCCCCCUUUGGCCGGAAAGGGAUGUCCCUUCCAGCGUCAUGCUGUAUUAGGCGGGAUUUCUCCCGGUUAUCCAUCUGUCACGGCCAGGUUGCAUACGUGUUACUCACCCGUGCGCCGGUCGG